UUCAAAAUACAUGGAUUUUUGCCAUAAAGUAUGUGUCGAUUUUCCUGAGUGUGUGGUGUUUUGCUAAUGCGUUUGAAUCCGUACGUCAAACAAGACCGAAAAUGUCGAGGAAGCAUUUUUCAUCUAUUUUUCAAUUUCAAAUUAAGCAAUGUUCUUUUCGAUUUUUGAGUCUAGAGAAAAACUGACACGUUUAGAAUGAUUACCUUCAUCGUUUCCUUAAAGAAAAUCGAAUAUCGAUUCUUCAUUUUAGGACCCAAUUGUCACCCUAGAUUCAGACGCUGUCAGUUAUUAACAUUUACGCAUAAAUUGCUUGCCGUGCAUAACUGGCAGCAUUGAUGUUUUCUUUUUUUGUUGAGCUGUCAUCGGAUCAGUCAACAUCGUCAAUCCUCCUGUUCCGUGGGUUCCGUCGGUUGUUUCUUUUUUACCGGCUGCUUCUCUUUUCAUCAACAAGGGCAUCUUUUUACUCCAGGCUCGACUCCAAGUGGACAAUACGAUAGCAACUUUGAUCUGAUUUGAGAAAUAACCUGCUGAAUCAACACCUAAAGCCGAUAAAGCAACUGAUAAUGGAUCACAAUUUGACACCUCUAUAAGCAGCCACACCAAACACCAUCAAGGCACCACGAGUGUACGUCGAACCGCUGGGUGGUAGCGGCAACAGCACCAACAGUUCUCCACAGCAUCCUUCGGCUACGACGACGAUUUCGUCGAAUGGUAAUGUGAGUCACUGCCGUACACGUAAAUGCCGUACGCAUCUAACGACGGGGGCGCCGGCGCCAGGUGCUUGGACUCCACUAACUAUCGAGUGGCAAACUAGUCGGAACAAUCCGUUCUCCGACCCGAUUGAGUACGUACUACGAAUGGCGAAGGCGAAGGAUCAAGAGUUUAGCGAGGUUUAUCGCGGUCCUGGCACAAGACACACCAUCCAAAAUCUGAUCUACGGCUUGCCUUACCUAUUCAAAGUGUGCCCCGUGCGAAUCCGGUCCGCAAUUCAAAGAAAAUGGCAAAGAAAAUUCACGGCGUAUUUUCCCCGCUUUUUCACCAUCAAUUGACCUCGCACAGGAUCCCGUUCGAGUCUCAUCCGCGUCACUCGGCCCAUGACGAGGUGGACGGUGAAUCCGGCACGAAGUACUACGCCGGCAACGUAGUGAACCGGCGAGGUGAGUUGAUCCGCAACAGUUCCGAUUACCACCAUCAUUCCGGAUCGACAUUGUGGGCUAGUCCGAAUGCCGGCGCUACCGCGCAGUCACUGCUCCAUCUGCCCAAGGGAGGCAACUUGGUGCAGACGAUCGUUUUAUCAAUUAUUGUUGCAGCUUUUCUCAAGUGGAAUUCCAGAAUCAGAGCGCGUAAUAUUGUAUCCAGAAUUUGCUCUGUUUUUAUGAAACCUCAAGGAAUAAUUAUAAGAAUAAAACAUACAUAUGCUAUACAAA